GACGAACCGAGCGAACGUUGUUCGGAAUCACUGGGCUUAAAGGGCGCGUAGGCGGGUGAUCAAGUACGGGGUGAAAUCCUCCAGCUCAACUGGAGAACUGCCUCGGAUACUGGUUGCCUCGAGGAAGGUAGGGGUGUGUGGAACGUUCAGUGGAGCGGUGAAAUGCAUUGAUAUUGAACGGAACUCCGGUGGCGAAGGCGACACACUGGACCUCUUCUGACGCUGAGGCUCGAAAGCUAGGGGAGCAAACGGG
rnacentral:rRNA from 1 species